UUGAAUCAGGCCUAAGUUACGCAGGGAAGGUUGGUUUUUUUGUUUUGCUUUGUUUUUGUUUGUUUGUUUUGAGAUGGAGUCUUGCUCUCUCACCUAGGCUGGAAUGCAAUGGCGCGAUCUUGGCUCACUGCAACCUCUGCCUCCUGGGUUCAAGAGAUUCUCCUGCUUCAGCCUCCCGAGUAGUUGGGACUACAGGACUGAAGAUCCACAUAUUCUCCCAUUACUAGUAUUUGACAUUCACCUGAAAUUGGCAAAGGCACCAUGACUAUGCCACAUUAUUCUUCCAAAUGGAAUUAUCAUAGUUUUGGAUAAGUGAUAUGACUCAGACAGCCACAGCUCGGUUUUCCCUUGGGUCCUCGAGAAAGCAGUUGUAUCUCUCCACCUCACGGCCACAGACCACUCGGAGAUCAAGGCUUCUGCAUGCCCCCCUGUCUUGAAUGGAGGAGAAGAGAAGGUGUAAGUCUGAGUAUGUAAAUCCUACCUGGUAGACAGCCUGUGUUGUUUGUUCUUGGUAAGAGGAGACUCAAUUAAGAGUUAACCUCUAACCCCAGAGCCCUAAAGGCUUAGAACGAGACUCUGCAAGGUGUUCCUGGAGAGAUUAUUGAAGGUUAUAGAAGGAAGCUAAAAUGAAUCUUAGUGAAAACCACAGGACUGUGGUGUUUUUUUUUAUUUCAAAGGAUGAAAUGGAGGCCCUGCACCAAAAGGGAGGGAAGGUAUGU